GGUCUUAGCAAAAAAUGCUAUCCACAUCCAGAAAAAUAAUUGAUGGAGUCUGAAUGCCAACCAAGGUGGUUUGUAAUGAUCAUUUGGAACAAGAUUCAGAAGGCUCCUGCUACUGUGCUGCCAUCUUGGAUUCAUCUUCAAGAAUCUCAUUUUGAAAUUGGCAAUUUAAGGAGUUAUUUUGCUUCUCCAACUUGCUAUUUCUUGGAACAUAAAAAAUAUGAUUUCUAUAAAGGAUACUGUAUAUAAAUAUGUUAAUAUUUAUUUUAUUUGAAAGAAUAACUUCCUUUAUCAACAGAAACACAUACUUAAAGCAAGAUUGAUUUGAUCUUAAAUAAUUAGAUCAUGAUCAAUUUUUUUUUUCUUCCUAUAUGCUCUUGGCCUAUUUCCUGCACAUGUCAACAUUGACUUUAACUCUAAGACUCAGGAUUCUUUGUUUUUAAAUUUAACUUGUAAUUAGAGGCUUCCUUAAACUAAUAACAUCUGUUUUAUUUGUUAACCUUUAAUUCUAACGACAAUUAUGAAACAAAAAAUUCCCUGAUGUUUAGCUACUUCUCAUGAGAUUCAUUAUCAUGAAAAUAUGUAUUUAAAUUUCCUAACAAAUGAUUUUGCCUACUCAUUCUUAAUAACAUUUGCAAAAUACUUUUAAUUUCUUCAGUACAUUUUUGUUUUUGUUUUUAAAUCAUCCUUGGAGAAAGACAGAUAUAGUGUCAAAAUUAAGGUGUAUUAAUUGAUGCAUCUUUCAAAAUAUAACUUAGUUAUUACCUAUUGUCUAAAUUAUCUCAGUUCUCCCAGUUACUAAAUUUCUCACACUUUUCUUUCAUGUAGAUUUUACUUUUAUGUAACUAUUUUUAUGUUUUUCUUCAGCAGAGGAGAAUACAAUGUUACUAACAAUAGCUGUGAUUUCCAUAGAACUUUAGAAUCACAAAAGAAUUUUAAAUAGCUAAAAUUUUGCUAUUUUUAUAGAUAAGUAAAUAGAAUCUCAGAAAGAUUAUGUCACUUGUUGAAAGUGUCUGAGGCAGGACUCAAACACAGCUCUCCCUGAAUCAAACCAAGUGCUAUCUGGCUUUAAUAGAGUGAGUUCAAUUGUUUCAAGUCAGCUGGUAUCAUUUAAUAUUUAUUGGAUUAAAAUAUAUUGACUUCAAUUGAAAAUCAACCUAAGUAUCCCCUAUAUUCAUGUGGGGGAAGAUGUGGCACAAGUGCUCUGGGGUCACAGAGGGGGUUGCUCCUUUCCCCGUCUCCACAAAACCUGAGGAUAUUUUUUGCAUAUCCCACCCCUCUAUACAGGAGACCAUUUCAAGCACCUCCUCCCUUCCCUCUCUUGGGUAAUAUGGGUUGGGAGUGGGACUCAAAGGUGGUUUGUCAGUGCAAUAUGGCUUCCCAUCUUUAAAAGUUUCGCCAACACUGCCCUAUAUCUCUCUCUCCAGUAGCCAUCCUGAUUCUGUGUGAAAGGUUUUUCAAGUGUAAUCUUCUGAAUUCCUCAAACAAGAAACCUUGGAGGCAGUUGAACAAUUGAAAAUAAUUUCCCAAUAUAGAAUAAACUAGAAUUUACACCGAUUUUAAAAUCUACA
rnacentral:lncRNA from 1 species